rfam:Triticum aestivum genome assembly, contig: Triticum_aestivum_CS42_TGACv1_scaffold_019803_1AS
AUUGUACUCCCUCCGUUCCGAAUUACUUGUCAUACAUAUGGAUAUAUUUAGAUGUAUUUUAGUUCUAAAUACAUCCAUUUCUAUGACGAGUAAUUUGGAACGGAGGGAGUAGACG